UACGAAGGGUGCAAACGUUGCUCGGAAUUAUUGGGCGUAAAGAGCUCGUAGGCGGUCUGUUACGUCCGCGUGUGAAAACCCAGGGCUUAACCCUGGGCUUGCAGUGGAUACGGGCAGACUAGAGGCAGGUAGGGGAGAAUGGAAUUCCCGGUGUAGCGGUGAAAUGCGUAGAGUAUCUGCAGGAACACCCGUGGCGAAAGCGGCGCGCUGGACCACUACUGACGCUGAGGAACGAAAGCUAGGGGAGCAAACAGG
rnacentral:rRNA from 1 species